UGCGGGCAGUGAGAAGCCCCGCCCCCCAGCUCCCUUAAGGGAGGAGCCCCCUUCCUGCGGGUGGAAUGGGACCCUCGGCGCCUGCCUGUCUCUACAGCAGGACCGGCGGGAGAUUAAAAAACAACACCCCUGCCCCCGAAAACCAACAUUGUAUGUUUGCCGAGGUCA